GCCAGAUGCCGUGGCGCUCACCUGUAAUCCCAGCAGCCCGGGAGGCUGAGACAGGAGGAUCAUGAGUUGAAAGCCAGCCUCAGCAAAAGCGAGACUCUAAGUAACUCAGUGAGACCCUGUCUCUA
rnacentral:sRNA from 1 species